UACGGAGGGUGCGAGCGUUGUCCGGAAUCACUGGGCGUAAAGGGCGCGUAGGCGGCUCAUGAAGGCUGCGGUGAAAGUCCGGGGCUCAACCUCGGAUCGGCCGUGGCGACUCGUGGGCUGGAGCACUGUAGAGGCGGGUGGAAUUCCGGGUGUAGCGGUGGAAUGCGUAGAGAUCCGGAAGAACACCGGUGGCGAAGGCGGUCCGCUGGGGUGUUGCUGACGCUGAGGCGCGACAGCGUGGGGAGCAAACAGG
rnacentral:rRNA from 1 species